rnacentral:rRNA from 1 species
AGAGUUUGAUCCUGGCUCAGGAUGAACGCUAGCGACAGGCUUAACACAUGCAAGUCGAGGGGCAGCACAGGUAGCAAUACCGGGUGGCGACCGGCGCACGGGUGAGUAACGCGUAUGCAACUUACCUAUCAGAGGGGGAUAACCCGGCGAAAGUCGGACUAAUACCGCAUGAAGCAGGGGCCCCGCAUGGGGAUAUUUGCUAAAGAUUCAUCGCUGAUAGAUAGGCAUGCGUUCCAUUAGGCAGUUGGCGGGGUAACGGCCCACCAAACCGACGAUGGAUAGGGGUUCUGAGAGGAAGGUCCCCCACAUUGGUACUGAGACACGGACCAAACUCCUACGGGAGGCAGCAGUGAGGAAUAUUGGUCAAUGGCCGAGAGGCUGAACCAGCCAAGUCGCGUGAGGGAUGAAGGUUCUAUGGAUCGUAAACCUCUUUUAUAAGGGAAUAAAGUGCGGGACGUGUCCCGUUUUGUAUGUACCUUAUGAAUAAGGAUCGGCUAACUCCGUGCCAGCAGCCGCGGUAAUACGGAGGAUCCGAGCGUUAUCCGGAUUUAUUGGGUUUAAAGGGUGCGUAGGCGGCCUUUUAAGUCAGCGGUGAAAGUCUGUGGCUCAACCAUAGAAUUGCCGUUGAAACUGGGGGGCUUGAGUAUGUUUGAGGCAGGCGGAAUGCGUGGUGUAGCGGUGAAAUGCAUAGAUAUCACGCAGAACCCCGAUUGCGAAGGCAGCCUGCCAAGCCAUUACUGACGCUGAUGCACGAAAGCGUGGGGAUCAAACAGGAUUAGAUACCCUGGUAGUCCACGCAGUAAACGAUGAUUACUAGGAGUUUGCGAUACAAUGUAAGCUCUACAGCGAAAGCGUUAAGUAAUCCACCUGGGGAGUACGCCGGCAACGGUGAAACUCAAAGGAAUUGACGGGGGCCCGCACAAGCGGAGGAACAUGUGGUUUAA